rnacentral:lncRNA from 1 species
UGAUCUCCAAAACACCUCUUCAAGUAUGUGAUCAAGAAACCGAUCGUUCCUAGAGCAAGUGGCAAAGGAUUUGGUGAUUAGUAUCUGAGACCUAAGUUCGAAUCCUAGUUGAUUCACAUUUCCAGCUAAGUUUAUUUUCUAAAUGAAAUAAACGAAGCGUGUAGCAUGCUACCUAUCUCUCAAAAUAAAAAAGAAGAAGAAAAAAGUAUGUGAUCAAGGAAUGUUAAGCUUGCGUUUGAGA